rnacentral:rRNA from 1 species
GACGAACGCUGGCGGCGUGCUUAACACAUGCAAGUCGAACGGAAAGGCCCUGCUUUUGUGGGGUGCUCGAGUGGCGAACGGGUGAGUAACACGUGAGUAACCUGCCCUUGACUUUGGGAUAACUUCAGGAAACUGGGGCUAAUACCGGAUAGGAGCUCCUGCUGCAUGGUGGGGGUUGGAAAGUUUCGGCGGUUGGGGAUGGACUCGCGGCUUAUCAGCUUGUUGGUGGGGUAGUGGCUUACCAAGGCUUUGACGGGUAGCCGGCCUGAGAGGGUGACCGGCCACAUUAGGACUGAGAUGCGACCCAGACUACUACGGGAGGCAGCGGUGGAGAGUAUUGCACAGUGGGCGGAAGCCUGAUGCAGCAACGCCACGUGCGGGGUAACAGGCUUCGGGUUGUAAACCGCUUUCGCCUGUGACGAGGCGUGAGUGACGGUAAUGGGUAAAGAAGCACCGGCUAACUACGUG